rnacentral:rRNA from 1 species
AAGUCGUAACAAGGUUUCCGUAGGUGAACCUGCGGAAGGAUCAUUAUCGAAUAAACCUGAACAGGCUGUUGNUGGUCCCAGGACAAUGUGCACGCUUGUCAUCUUUAUCAUUUCUCCCAACUGUGCACAUAUUGUAGACCCUGGAUUUUGUUCCGAGUGGGGACUGCUGUGCUUCAAAAGAAGUCGGCUUUCCCCUUGAAGGUCUAUGUUUGUUUUUCACAACCUCUCGAAUGUGUUUAGAAUGUUGAAAUAAAGAAAAGUUAAUAAAAUACAACUUUCAGCAACGGAUCUCUUGGCUCUCGCAUCGAUGAAGAACGCAGCGAAAUGCGAUAAGUAAUGUGAAUUGCAGAAUUCAGUGAAUCAUCGAAUCUUUGAACGCAUCUUGCGCUCCUUGGUAUUCCGAGGAGCAUGCCUGUUUGAGUGUCAUUUAAACUCUCAAACCACAUCAUUCGUUUGACGUGGCUUUGGAUGUGGGGGUUGCCGGCUUUCUUCUCAGAGAGCCCUGCUCCCCUGAAAUGCAUUAGUGGUAUCUGGAGUGGAAAACCGCUAGGUGUGAUAAUACUGUCUAUGCCUUUGGUUAUGCCACAAUGUGCUGCUUCUAAACCGCACAUUUUUGUGCUUUUGACAAACUUGACCUCAAAUCAGGUAGGACUACCCGCUGAACUUAAGCAUAUCAAUAAGCGGAGGAAAAGAAACUAACAAGGAUUCCCCUAGUACUGCGAGUGAAGCGGGAAGAGCUCAAAUUUGAAAUCUGGCGGUCGUUGGCCGUCCGAGUUGUAAUCUGGAGAAGUGCUACCUGUGCUGGACCGUGUACAAGUCUCCUGGAAUGGAGCAUCGCAGAGGGUGAGAAUCCCGUCUUUGACACGGACUGCCUGUACGUCAUGGUGCGCUCUCGAAGAGUCGAGUUGUUUGGGAAUGCAGCUCAAAAUGGGUGGUAAAUGCCAUCUAAAGCUAAAUAUUGGCGAGAGACCGAUAGCGAACAAGUACCGUGAGGGAAAGAUGAAAAGAACUUUGGAAAGAGAGUUAAACAGUACGUGAAAUUGCUGAAAGGGAAACGCUUGAAGUCAGUCGCGUCGGCCAGAAAUCAGCCUUUGCUUUUGCUUGGUGUACUUUCUUGGUUGAUGGGUCAGCAUCAAUUUCGACCGUCGGAUAAAGUCGUCGGGAGUGUGGCAUCUUCGGAUGUGUUAUAGCCCGGCGUCGCAUACGGUGGUUGGGAUUGAGGAACUCAGCACGCCGAAAGGCCGGGUCUCUCGAGACCACGUCCGUGCUUAGGAUGCUGGCAUAAUGGCUUUAAUCGACCCGUCUUGAAACACGGACC